GACCAACUGAUGAAAUGUUUAAAGGGGGAAUAAAUCUCCAUGAUUUUGUAAAGGCAGCAUUACCAAAACGACUUUUACAAAUAGUGGAUCCAAACCUUCUCCCUGGAGAAAUAGCAAAUGAAGAAUAUGAAGAUGGUGAAAUACUGGAAGCAGAACAAACCAAUCACCAUGGGAACAUGAGCCAGGUUAUAGUGAAUGUGAGACGAUGCCUAGUUUCAAUACUCGAAAUUGGUGUUGCAUGUUCAGUGGAGUCACCUAUGGAACGAAUGACUAUGGCAGAUGUCAUGAAAAAGUUGCACUUGAUAAAGAAAACUUUUUUAGAUAUUCAAAUGCCCAGAAACAGACCAAAUGGAGGGUGAUUGGGAGGUGCUAAACAUUUCAAGGGAAGUCAAAUUGAAUAAAUGUCCACUUUUCUGUAUGUGAUCUAUGUAAAUAUAUCUUUCUUAAUUUUUCGCCAUUGUUAUCUUGUUUUCUUUUUCCCUCAACGCGUU
rnacentral:misc_RNA from 1 species